rnacentral:rRNA from 1 species
ACAGCAGUCGCCGCGGUAAUACAGAGGGUGCAAGCGUUAAUCGGAAUUACUGGGCGUAAAGCGCGCGUAGGUGGUUCGCCAAGUUGGAUGUGAAAUCCCCGGGCUCAACCUGGGAACUGCAUUGGUGACUGCAACGCUGGAGUGCGGCAGAGGGGGAUGGAAUUCCGCGUGUAGCAGUGAAAUGCGUAGAUAUGCGGAGGAACACCGAUGGCGAAGGCAAUCCCCUGGGCCUGCACUGACGCUCAUGCACGAAAGCGUGGGGAGCAAACAGGAUUAGAUACCCGAGUAGUCCCUGUCUCUUAUAC